UUUUUAAAUGGCCGCAGUAUACUAACUGUGCAAAGGUAGCAUAAUCAUUAGUCUUUUAAUUGAAGGCUGGUAUGAAUGGUUGGACGAGAUAUUAACUGUUUCAUAUAAAUUUUUAUUAGAAUUUUAUUUUUUAGUCAAAAAGCUAAAAUUUAUUUAAAAGACGAGAAGACCCUAUAAAUCUUUAUAUUUAGUUGAUUAUUAUUUUUUAGAUUUGUUUUGUAAUAAUUAAUUAUAAUAUUUUAUUGGGGUGAUAUUAAAAUUUAUUAAACUUUUAAUUUUUAAAAUCAUUAAUUUAUGAAUAAUUGAUCCGUUAUUAACGAUUAAAAAAAUAAGUUACUUUAGGGAUAACAGCGUAAUUUUUUUGGAGAGUUCAUAUCGAUAAAAAAGAUUGCGACCUCGAUGUUGGAUUAAGAUAUAAUUUUAGGUGUAGCCGCUUAAAUUUUAAGUCUGUUCGACUUUUAAAUUCUUACAUGAUCUGAGUUCAAACCGGCGUAAGCCAGGUUGGUUUCUAUCUUUAAAAA
rnacentral:rRNA from 1 species